GUGCUUGCUUUGGCAGCACAUAUACUAAAAUUGGAACAAUGCAGAGAAGAUUAACAUGGCCCCUACACAAGGAUGACACGCAAAUUUGUGAAGCAUUCCAUAUUUUU
rnacentral:snRNA from 1 species